GGGGUGAGGACGGACAGACGGACGAGCGGAUGGAUGAGCACGGGGGACGGACGGACUCACCGCGGAGCAGCGCCGGGCCCCGGGACCGAUCCGCUGCCCUGCGCUGCCAAAAUCCCUGCUCCCGGGACCCAGCUGAGCAGCACUGUGAAGUUCUUCAGAGUUGAUUCUGCACGUCAAAUAAGUGGUUCUGGAGCUGCUACAUACCAGCCCUGAUGGAAACAGGACAACAGCCUCCCUCCAGCUGCCCAAGCUCAGCCAUGGCCACAACGCCACAACAGCAUCAUGGCUUUGCAAGAAGUCACAAGGGAAGUAUUAUCAGCCCACCAAGAGACAAACAGCACUGGGAUACUGUGUCUUACCAAGUUAGAGAUUGCUGCUCUGGCAUGGUCCAUUUCCUUCUGGACAAACGCAAACCAACUUCACCAAAGCCCUAUAAGUUCAGAAUGUAACAAGUCAGGUUAGACUGUUCCUUUGCUGCGACAUUACACACCUGAGCAUCAGUGCACUGCUUGCCCGUGAAUCUUCUGUGCGUACUUCAAUGUAAGUCACUACAUUAGCGAAUCUGCAUGAAUCCUGAACACAAUCUAAAAGUUCCCAUGGCAAUUAUAACCUCCAGUGAACACAUCGAGUCUUUCUGCUCAACUCUGGGCUCAGUGACAGGUGUAUAAAUGAAGAAUACAGUCUCCAAUGGCUAAGCUCAGCCAAGGGUCUCAUUAAUGGUGGGGACAUCUCCAUUCAGGGAGUGCUGGCAAAAGGCAUUUACUCAGCUGUGACAAUGGACUCUAGAUAUCUAAGGUUCCUGGGGUCUGUCUCAAUGACAGGAAUAGUCCAGCUGGAAGAGAGAAGAGUCACAAGGCCAUAAGGCAAAGCAGCACACACUCCAACCCCAACAAAACACUUCUAAGAGGAACAUCCCUCCUAGAUGGUUAUGUUCUCUACAACUUGAUGAAGGCAAUUUCUGUUUUGAAAAGCCUCUGAAAAUCACUAAGAGUAUCUCUCCAAAAUCAUUGCAGCAACUUUUAAAAUUCUAAGUUCUCUGUAAACAGCAAACAUAUCUGAAAGGUAAAUUGUAACUGAUUUACUUCUCCAUUUCUUCUUGAAAAAGGUUUGCCAUUUAGUGAGUGACUAGACCGGUGCUGAGGUUGGGAGCAAGCAACCUGAGUAUGCCCUUAAGCAGCGCUUACUAAGAAUUGGCUCUGGCCUUCAGGUGCACGUAGAUCAGCUCUACACCUGGGAGCUCUGCAAGGUUCUGUUUGGAGACCAAAGGUCAACAGCGGCCACUGCUUAUUUCACCUUUCAUUCUGGGCAAGAACACCUGGGGACGAAACCCCGACACAUGCGAGAAGCCUUUCCCAAGUGACAGCCUGAGGCCGCGGGCUCCCACCGGAGGCACGAGUGGACUGAGCACGUGGAGGCUCCGCUAAAAGGAAACCCGGAAAGACGCAGGGAAAACACAAAGGGCCUGCGGGCAUCGCACCUGGUAGGGAUGCUGACCGGGUGCGCGAUGCCUCCCCGAGCCCCUCCAGCCAAGCCCCAAUCUUUCAGAAACAAGGCGAAGAGAAGAAAAGACAGAAAAGCGAGCGGGGCUGGGCGGCCGCGGUAUCUCCAC